CUUGUCCCGUCACUCCCCUCGGUCUCCAUGGCAACCACUGUGCCCCAAGGGGUGGAGAAUACACCCCAUUGUUCUAGCCUCCCUGCCUUCAUUCCAUCUUAAUUACCUGUGCCCAUUGGGUUCCGUCCCAGGCUCCCGUUGGGUUUGAUGAGUCCCUUCCCUCCUCAACUGUUUCCAUUUCUCUACGUACCUGCCCUCUGGGGCCACGGGACGCCUCCCGUGGCUCCCACGGGCCUGGGUCCACCUCUCGGUUAUGUGAGUCACUGAGUCCUAUGAACUCUGUACCGGGAGUGAGUCACUUUGCUCCUUAAAGCCUCGGGCUUCUCAUCUGUACGACCGGGAUAAAAGUGGUCUUAGGGCCGAAAACCCGAACACCUUCAGCGCACAGCAUAUACUUUACUGAGAUCUUGUCGACGUAGCACGUGGAUACACGGAAGGUGUGCCAUGUGAUGAUUCGGCGCAUGUGUGCGUGGCCAAGCGAUGACCACAAGAAGGCAGUUAGCACUUCGUCCCCUCAUCUAACGACCUUUCGGAUGUGCGCUGCAAGCACCUAGUGGAGAGCAGAAUCUUAAUUGUGCGGAUCACUAAAGUGAGGCUGGCUUGUGCCUUCGUCCCUUCGUUCAAGUAUCUAUCUGGCACCCGAGAGCCAGGCGCUGUCCCGGGCAUGGGGAAAUGACAGUGACGCGGCCUCUGGAAGCAGGAAUCUCACAUCCGAGUGAGGAGAGUUCCAAAAGGUGAAGAAAGGGCAACCCGCCCCUUCGAACCGCUCCAGGUACUUGCAGUAGUGAGCCUCCCGUCCCCGGAGGCAUGUCAGCAGAGGCUGCGUGAUUUCCUGGAAGGGAGUUUUCUAUUGGGUAAGAAGCUGGACUGAAUAGUCUCCGAACUUUUCUGUUCAAUUCCGAGUUUCUGGGACAUUAAGGAACUGGUUAUGUUCAGGGCAAAUCAAUAGAGGUAUAUACGCAGCGUCCACCGGGUUCUCUGAGGCUUGACCACUCAAGAAUCAUUUGGCAAGGUUUUUAUUGAUUUAUUUUUGCCUUGAGUCUGAAUCGAACUUCUUCCUUUUUUUUUUUUUUUUGGCCUAAAUUCAGGCACAAAGUCCAGCACAGUCAAUUGAUGAGGCGUUUGAUUUCUAGGUGGUUGUACAGUGGAGAUUUCACUUCUGAGCCAGAGUUAAAUCCUGCUCUCCCACUCCCCAGCUGCGUGAUUUUGAGCAAGUGAUCAAACUACACUUCUCUGAGCCUCUGUUUUCCCAUCUGUAAAGUAGGACGAGUAGAACUUACUGGAUAGGAUGGUCGAAUGAGAUAUCCCAGGUAAAUAAAGAAUUGUCAUGGUGCUUAACACAGAGUGAGCGCCUUGUUAACUCUAGUAAUGGUUCAUACUCAAUGGAUUUUUUUAAAGCUUAUCUAUUUUUGAGAGAGAGAGAGAGAGAGUGCAAGUGGGGGAGG